rnacentral:rRNA from 1 species
UUAUGGCUCAGAACGAACGCUGGCGGCAGGUCUUAGGCAUGCAAGUCGAACGGAUGACAAGAGAGCUUGCUCUCUUGAAGUCAGUGGCGCACGAGUGAGUAACGCGUGGGAAACUGCCCUUCACUGGGGAAUAACGUUUGGAAACGAACGCUAAUACCGCAUACGCCCGCAAGGGGAAAGAUUUAUCGGUGAUGGAUGUGCCCGCGUUGGAUUAGCUAGUUGGUGGGGUAAUGGCCUACCAAGGCGAUGAUCCAUAGCUGGUCUGAGAGGACGAUCAGCCACGCUGGAACUGAGACACGGUCCAGACUCCUACGGGAGGCAGCAGCUAAGAAUAUUGGGCAAUGGAGGAAACUCUGACCCAAGCCAUGCCGCGUGAAUGAAGAAGGCCUUCGGGUUGUAAAGUUCUUUUAGUCAUGAAGAUGAUGACAGUAGUGACAGAAAAAGCACCGGCUAACUUCGUGCCAGCCGCCGC